GACGAACGCUGGCGGCGUGCUUAACACAUGCAAGUCGAGCGGUAAGGCCCUUUCGGGGGUACACGAGCGGCGAACGGGUGAGUAACACGUGGGUGACCUGCCCUCAGCUCUGGGAUAAGCCUGGGAAACCGGGUCUAAUACUGGAUAUGACUCCAUGACGCAUGUUGUGGGGUGGAAAGCCUUGUGCGGCUGAGGAUGGGCCCGCGGCCUAUCAGCUUGUUGGUGGGGNGAUGGCCUACCAAGGCGACGACGGGUAGCCGGCCUGAGAGGGCGACCGGCCACACUGGGACUGAGACACGGCCCAGACUCCUACGGGAGGCAGCAGCGGGGAAUCUUGCGCAAUGGGCGAAAGCCUGACGCAGCGACGCCGCGUGAGGG
rnacentral:rRNA from 1 species